UUGGGGACCUCCCUACCUGCAUGCAAAAAAUUUUUGAAAUCCGAGUGUAACACCUAAAAACCUUCCCUUGUGAGAUCAAGGGAGUAAGGACUUAAUUGAUGAAUAAUUUAUUUCUUCUGAAAUAGAGUAUAUAGGACCGUUCUAACUCCGUUGGCUUCGAGGAGACUGACGUCACGCGGGAAGGGAGAGGUGACAUCUUGGAUCGUGCAUUUUCGCUGACCUGGCCCGCGGGAGAGAGGGAUCGCAGCGUGUUAUGGGCAAGACCGCUAGAUCCCCGAAUCGUUUCACGGUGCGAUGAGCUAGUGGAAACUGAAAGAAUCGUGCUCAAAAUAAUAAAUGCGACAGCUAAACGCGUGGCGUGUAGAUGGAAACCAAACGUGGAUACUAAAUCGCGUCUUUGACUGCUGUGAGACAGAGAAAGUGAGAGAAAAAGAGGAAGGAACUUUUAAGCCAUGCGGGUGCAGCGACGCGGUGGGGAAAUUCUAAUACAAUCCGAUGUGUUGUCCCAAUAUGGUGAUGUAAACUCAUAUUGGCCGCUCAAAAUUCGUUCAAACAGCUCUUGUUGCUCGUUCUCCGGCGAU